rnacentral:rRNA from 1 species
UACAGAGGGUGCGAGCGUUAAUCGGAAUUACUGGGCGUAAAGCGUGCGUAGACGGUUAUUUAAGUCGGGUGUGAAAGCCCCGGGCUCAACCUGGGAAUUGCAUUCGAGACUGAAUAGCUAGGGUACGGUAGAGGGAAGCGGAAUUUCCGGUGUAGCGGUGAAAUGCGUAGAUAUCGGAAAGAACACCAACGGCGAAAGCACUCUGCUGGGCCGACACUGACACUGAGAGACGAAAGCUAGGGGAGCGAAUGGG